UCUUUGCUGCAAAUAUAUACAGUACUGUGGAGAAUAAUCCUGCAUCAGCCAGAGAGAUGGACAUGAUGAGCGAAUAGACCACUCUUCUUUAAGAAAAUGUAGUGCAGGUGAAGGGCCCACCAAUUGACAAUGUUGGAGCCCAAUUCUUUUGCCACCGGAUGCAAAUAACGACUUGACUUCACUGGGAGUUACUUGUACACAGUGGUAGGAGAAAUGAGUUUCUGGAACCUGAACAUUUCUGUUAGUCCACAGAACUAAUCUGUUCUAUUCAGGUUUUUAUGUAGUGCCUAUCUCUGUGGUAUCUGCUGCUAUCUGUGUAAGUUUCCUCUUCAAAUAUGCUUCAUCCCUGAGCUGGAGAAGACACUUGAGUCAGAAGGGAGUUCAGAAAGACCACUUCAAGGGCAGUGCGUUUGGUCUGAAGUGUGUCAGAGACUCCCCUGGGGAUAACAAACCUGAUGCUCAGAGCCAGAGCCACCAGCACCAGCAGAAGCAAAACCCGAGGACUCAUCAUGGUGACAGCCAUGUCAUGGACACCUCCCUGAAGAUUAGCAAAGUGGCUAGUGUCCCUGGAGCCUUGUUAUAUACUACAGCUGG